AUUUUAGAGGGAUCGAUCAGAUUCAACUCCUGUCCUCUCGAUAUCAAUUUUUGUAUCGAAUCAAUCUACAUAAAAUUUUGUUCUAACUUAAAUUGAGUCUCGCAAUAGUAGACAGUGAGAUUGAUUCCUUAGAUUGUACAAGAUGAUGGAGCAGAUCCUCUCUCUUUAAAAUGUCGUCUAGUGAGAUCUGGAUUAUUGAUUUUUUUUUUUUUGUGUUGAAUCUUGAUAGACAAAAUAUUAAAAAGAAAUUUAAUAGCGUGGAUUUGCACUAGAAUUCUCACGGGAGAGAUCCUCCCCAUAAGAUGAUUGGAUGCCAUGUCCACACACUAACUUUCUAACAAUUACCAACAAUUGCUACCUAAUUUUGAAUUAAACUUUUGGAGUUGAAAUCCUGAAUUUCAUUUUUCUUUUCUAAAGUUUCUUUUAUUGUUUCCUUAAUAAGAAAAACUCUUAAAUUGAACAUUGAUUUUCAUUUUUUUUAAUUUUUUUUACAUAAUAAUAAAAUCGAAGUCUUGUUGGUAAGUAUUUUAAUAUAGGAA
rnacentral:lncRNA from 1 species